rnacentral:rRNA from 1 species
UACGUAGGGACCAAGCGUUGUUCGGAUUUACUGGGCGUAAAGGGCGCGUAGGCGGCUAAUUAAGUCAUCUGUGAAAUCUCCGAGCUUAACUCGGAACGGUCAGGUGAUACUGAUCUGCUAGAGUGCGGAAGGGGCAAUCGGAAUUCUUGGUGUAGCGGUGAAAUGCGUAGAUAUCAAGAGGAACACCUGAGGUGAAGACGGGUUGCUGGGCCGACACUGGCGCUUACAGCGCGAAAGCCAGGGGAGCAAACGGG